rnacentral:lncRNA from 1 species
GCAUUUGAUAUGUAAAACGACUAACUUAUUACUUAAUAUUAAUCCAAGCACCAUGCAAUAAAAAAAACUAAAAACAAAGAAGAAAAAUAUCUUGAUUUUUGAAAAAUUAAAAUCGAAAACAGAAAAUAUUUUUGGGAUUUUUUUGAAAUUUGUUUGAAAAAUGAAUAAAAGUAAAAUAAAAAAAAUAAACACACAUAAAAACUUAUGUGCCUUCCCCCCCC